rnacentral:rRNA from 1 species
ACGAACGCUGGCGGCGUGCUUAACCCAUGCCAGUCGAACGGAAAGGCCCUGCUUUUGUGGGGUGCUCGAGUGGCGAACGGGUGAGUAACAUGUGAGUAACCUGCCCUUGACUUUGGGAUAACUUCAGGAAACUGGGGCUAAUACCGGAUAGGAGCUCCUGCUGCAUGGUGGGGGUUGGAAAGUUUCGGCGGUUGGGGAUGGACUCGCGGCUUAUCAGCUUGUUGGUGGGGUAGUGGCUUACCAAGGCUUUGACGGGUAGCCGGCCUGAGAGGGUGACCGGCCACAUUGGGACUGAGAUACGGCCCAGACUCCUACGGGAGGCAGCAGUGGGGAAUAUUGCACAAUGGGCGGAAGCCUGAUGCAGCAACGCCGCGUGCGGGAUGACGGCCUUCGGGUUGUAAACCGCUUUCGCCUGUGACGAAGCGUGAGUGACGGUAAUGGGUAAAGAAGCACCGGCUAACUACGUG